rnacentral:lncRNA from 1 species
CAUCUGAAACGGUGGUAAAUGUUUUAGCACGAUCCCGUCGAUCCCGUCUGAAACGGAAACAGGGUAGAAGAAAAAUCAAGGUCACGACUGUAACGGACAUGAGAAAAACAUGAGAAUCAAUGUCGUGAGGAGGCGGAGCGACUUACGGUUUCGAGCGGAGAAGAAGGAAACGGUGAGAAGAAUCACGAUCGUGAGGAGGCGGAGCGACUUAGGUUUCGAGCGGAGAAGAAGGAAGCGGUGAGAAGAAUGACGAUCGUGAGGAGGCGGUCGGUUUGAGAAGUUUAGAUAGUGAAUGGUUUGGUUCGGUUCGGUUCGGUUUAGAGAGAGUCAGUUAAUUGGUAUUUGUUCGGUUUGAGAAGUUUAGAUAGUGAAUGGUUCGGUUCGGUUUAGAGAGAGUCAGUUAAUUGGUUCGGUUCAGAUUUUUAGAGACAACGGUUCUUCGGUUCAGUUUUAAUUGGUUCGGUUUU